GACAGAGGUGGCAAGCGUUGUUCGGAAUCACUGGGCUUAAAGGGCGCGUAGGUGGUAGUGCAAGUCUGAGGUGGAAUCUUAGGGCUUAACCCUAAAAUUGCCUUGGAAACUGCACUACUUGAGUCAGUGAGGGGAGGGUAGAAUUCCUGGUGUAGCGGUGAAAUGCGUAGAUAUCAGGAGGAAGGCCGGUGGCGAAGGCGGCCCUCUGGCGCUGAACUGACACUGAGGCGCGAAAGCGUGGGGAGCAAACAGG
rnacentral:rRNA from 1 species